rnacentral:misc_RNA from 1 species
UCUCCGUAGGUGAACCUGCGGAAGGAUCAUUAUUGAAACUUGAAUCGUAGCAUCGAGAACUGUUGCUGACCUGUUAAAAGGUAUGUGCACGUUUGACGUGUUGCGUUCUAUUCAUUCACCUGUACACCUUUGUAGACUUGAUUAACUUUCGCUCUCGAGCGGUUAGAAGGGUUGCUUUCGAGCUCCCUUUGUCUAUCAAGUCUAUGUCUAUCUAAACUCUUGUAUGUCUAGAAUGUCUUGUUUAUGGGACGGAAGUCCUUUAGAUCUUAUACAACUUUCAACAACGGAUCUCUUGGCUCUC